rnacentral:rRNA from 1 species
GACGAACGCUGGCGGCGUGCUUAACACAUGCAAGUGGAGCGACGAACCAGGCUUCGGCCUGGGGCAAAGCCGCGAACGGGUGAGUAACACGUGGGUAACGUGCCUCGAUGACCGGGACAACCCGAGGAAACUCGGGCUAAUACCGGAUGUGCUCCCACCACAUCAGUGGUGUGAGUAAAGGUAGCUUCGGCCUCCGCAUCGAGAUCGGCCCGCGGCGCAUUAGCUUGUUGGNGGGGUAACGGCGUUACCAAGGCAACGAUGCGUAGCUGGUCUGAGAGGACGAUCAGCCACACUGGGACUGAGACACGGCCCAGACUCCUACGGGAGGCAGCAGUGGGGAAUCUUGCGCAAUGCGCGAAAGCGUGACGCAGCAACGCCGCGUGGGGGAAGAAGG